rnacentral:tRNA from 1 species
GGGCCCGUGGUCUAGUUGGUUAGGACGUCGCCCUCACACGGCGAAGAUCGUGGGUUCAACUCCCACCGGGCCCA